ACAAACUUGGUCAUUUAGAGGAAGUAAAAGUCGUAACAAGGUAACCGUAGGUGAACCUGCGGUUGGAUCAUUAUUGAAGAUCUAUUUUGAUACGGAGGAGGGGAGCGUCCCCGGGGGGUGGAUGAUUAUAUCUAUCUAUAUAUCCUCUGGGGGCGGCUUUCCCUUGAGAUGUGUCUGCGGCAGAUGCGACAUUGUCGGCACUGAAAAUCGUCCUCGAGAGGGUUUUGUUUGUGUCGGGCAUUUGCGUCCAUGCGGCCCGAAAGGGGGCUUGCAAGCAAACGUGCCUCGGUUCGCCCGUUGCCGCGGAAGACUGCGUGUCCCUCUCUCCCUUUCUUUGGGGAAACGGGCAGCGGUCGUAUUUUUCUAUCCUUUCCAAGGAAAUACCACUUCUCCUUCCGUGUGGGAAGAGAAGAGAAAAACAAUUGUGAUUGCAAAGAAACCAAAAAAAACAACUUUUGACAACGGAUCUCUUGGCUCUCGCAUCGAUGAAGAACGCAGC
rnacentral:misc_RNA from 1 species